CGGCGGCUGCUUACCUGCAAGUCGAACGGGCGUAGCAAUACGUCAGUGGCAGACGGGUGAGUAACGCGUGGGAACGUACCUUUUGGUUCGGAACAACUGAGGGAAACUUCAGCUAAUACCGGAUAAGCCCUUACGGGGAAAGAUUUAUCGCCGAAAGAUCGGCCCGCGUCUGAUUAGCUAGUUGGUGAGGUAAUGGCUCACCAAGGCGACGAUCAGUAGCUGGUCUGAGAGGAUGAUCAGCCACAUUGGGACUGAGACACGGCCCAAACUCCUACGGGAGGCAGCAGUGGGGAAUAUUGGACAAUGGGGGCAACCCUGAUCCAGCCAUGCCGCGUGAGUGAUGAAGGCCCUAGGGUUGUAAAGCUCUUUUGUGCGGGAAGAUAAUGACGGUACCGCAAGAAUAAGCCCCGGCUAACUUCGUGCCAGCAGCCGCGGUAAUACGAAGGGGGCUAGCGUUGCUCGGAAUCACUGGGCGUAAAGGGUGCGUAGGCGGGUUUCUAAGUCAGAGGUGAAAGCCUGGAGCUCAACUCCAGAACUGCCUUUGAUACUGGAAGUCUUGAGUAUGGCAGAGGUGAGUGGAACUGCGAGUGUAGAGGUGAAAUUCGUAGAUAUUCGCAAGAACACCAGUGGCGAAGGCGGCUCACUGGGCCAUUACUGACGCUGAGGCACGAAAGCGUGGGGAGCAAACAGGAUUAGAUACCCUGGUAGUCCACGCCCGUAAACGAUGAAUGCCAGCCGUUAGUGGGUUUACUCACUAGUGGCGCAGCUAACGCUUUAAGCAUUCCGCCUGGGGAGUACGGUCGCAGAUUAAAACUCAAGG
rnacentral:rRNA from 1 species